AGGAGUAUGAUGUAACGGUAGCAUUACGGUCUCCAAAACCGUCCGUUAGGGUUCGAAUCCUUAUGCUCCUG
rnacentral:tRNA from 1 species